rnacentral:rRNA from 1 species
GACGAACGCUGGCGGCGUGCUUAACACAUGCAAGCCGAGCGGUAAGGCCCUUCGGGGUACACGAGCGGCGAACGGGUGAGUAACACGUGGGUGAUCUGCCUCGUACUUCGGGAUAAGCCUGGGAAACUGGGUCUAAUACCGGAUAUGACCUUCGGAUGCAUGUCUGAGGGUGGAAAGAUUUAUCGGUACGAGAUGGGCCCGCGGCCUAUCAGCUUGAUGGUGGGGUAAUGGCCUACCAAGGCGACGACGGGUAGCCGGCCUGAGAGGGCGACCGGCCACACUGGGACUGAGACACGGCCCAGACUCCUACGGGAGGCAGCAGUGGGGAAUAUUGCACAAUGGGCGAAAGCCUGAUGCAGCGACGCCGCGUGAGGGAUGACGGCCUUCGGGUUGUAAACCUCUUUCGACAGGGACGAAGCGCAAGUGACGGUACCUGUAGAAGAAGCACCGGCCAACUACGUGCCAGCCGCCGCAGUAAAAC